GGUCAGAUAGAUUAAUCUUAGAUCACCGGGCUCAUGACCCGGAGGUACCACAAGUUCUGGCCG
rnacentral:tRNA from 1 species